rnacentral:rRNA from 1 species
CGCGGCCUAUCAGCUUGUUGGUGGGGUGAUGGCCUACCAAGGCGUCGACGGGUAGCCGGCCUGAGAGGGCGACCGGCCACACUGGGACUGAGACACGGCCCAGACUCCUACGGGAGGCAGCAGUGGGGAAUAUUGCACAAUGGGCGAAAGCCUGAUGCAGCGACGCCGCGUGAGGGAUGACGGCCUUCGGGUUGUAAACCUCUUUCAGCAGGGAAGAAGGCCUUCGGGUGGACGGUACCUGCAGAAGAAGCGCCGGCUAACUACGUGCCAGCAGCCGCGGUAAUACGUAGGGCGCAAGCGUUGUCCGGAAUUAUUGGGCGUAAAGAGCUCGUAGGCGGUUUGUCGCGUCUGGUGUGAAAUCCCGAGGCUCAACCUCGGGCUUGCAUCGGGUACGGGCAGACUAGAGUACUGUAGGGGAGACUGGAAUUCCUGGUGUAGCGGUGGAAUGCGCAGAUAUCAGGAGGAACACCGAUGGCGAAGGCAGGUCUCUGGGCAGUUACUGACGCUGAGGAGCGAAAGCAUGGGGAGCGAACAGGAUUAGAUACCCUGGUAGUCCAUGCCGUAAACGUUGGGCACUAGGUGUGGGGCUCAUUCCACGAGUUCCGUGCCGCAGCUAACGCAUUAAGUGCCCCGCCUGGGGAGUACGG